ensembl:lncRNA
GUGAUGGUUGUAGUGGGUUCACCAGUUGUUGUCGACACAGCAGUGACUGUUGUUGUGGGUUCACCAGUUGUUGACACACCAGUGAUGGUUGUAGUGGGUUCACCAGUUGUUGUUGACAAACCAGUGAUGGUUGUAGAAGGUUCAUUAGUUGUUGUAGAAACACCAGUUAUUGUCGUAGUGGGUUCACCAGCUGUUGUCGACACAGCUUUGACUGUUGAUGUGGGUUGAACAGUAUUUUUUGUUGACUCAGUGAUGGUUGUAGUGGGUUCACCAGUUGUUGUUGAUGAAACCGUGAUGGAUGUAGUGGGUUCACCAGUUGUUGUCGAUGCCCCAGUAACAGUUGUAGUGGGUUCACCAGUUGUUUUUGUUGACUCAGUGAUGGUUGUAGUGGGUUCACCAGUUGUUGAUGAAGACUCAAGGAUAGUUGUAGUGGGUUCACCAGUUGUUGGUGACACACCAGUGAUGGUUGUAGAAGGUUCAUUAGUUGUUGUAGAAACACCAGUGAUUGUCGUGGUGGGUUCACCAGUUAUUGUCGACACAGCUUUGACUGUUGAUGUGGGUUGAACAGUAUUUUUUGUUGACUCAGUGAUGGUCGUAGUGGGUUCACCAAUUGUUGUCGAUGCACCAGUGACUGAUCUAGUUUGUUGACCAGUUGUUUUUGUUGACUCAGUGAUGGUUGUAGUGGGUUCACCAGUUGUUGACGAUGACUCAGUUAUAGUUGGAGUCGGUUCACCAGUUGUUGUUGACACACCAGUGAUGGUUGUAGUGGGUUCACCAGUUGUUGUUGACACACCAGUGAUGGUUGUAGUGGGUUCACCAGUUGUUGAUGAAGACUCAGUUAUAGUUGUAGUGGGUUCACCAGUUGUUGAUGAUGACUCAGUUAUAGUUGUAGUGGGUUCACCAGUUGUUGUCGACACAGCAGUGAUGGUUGUAGUGGGUUCAUCAGUUGUUGUUGAUGAAACUGUGAUGGAUGUAGUGGGUUCACCAGUUGCUGUCGACACAGCAGUGACUGUUGUUGUGGGUUCACCAGUUGUUGACACACCAGUGAUGGUUGUAGUGGGUUCACCAGUUGUUGUUGACACACCAGUGAUGGUUGUAGAAGGUUCAUUAGUUAUUGUAGAAACACCAGUGAUGGUUGUAGUGGGUUCACCAGUUGUUGAUGAAGACUCAAUGAUAGUUGUAGUGGGUUCACCAGUUGUUGUCGACACAGCAG